rfam:Gossypium hirsutum cultivar TM-1 chromosome 24, whole genome shotgun sequence
AUCUCGUAGUGAGGGUAUUUGUGUUGUAAGUUUUUAAAUCUUUCCCACGCCUUGUAUAAGGAUUCAUCAUCUAUUUUCUGAAAAGUAGUGAUCUAUUUCCACAACU